rnacentral:lncRNA from 1 species
AUAUUAUUCCUCAUGGCAGUGUCAAUUGGUAUUGCUUACGGAGAAAAAGAUGUGAUAAAGAAUCAUGAGAGGCCUGGCGAAAGAGAACAUGAGGAGCGUGACCCAAGACAACAACCACGUCCGCGUAAACAAGAGGAGCAAGAAAGAGAGCAUAGGAGAGAAGAGGAGCAUGAUCGUGACCCUUCACGUGGUAGGAGGGAGAGCGAAGAACGCCAAGAAGAAGAGCGUGAACGAAGGAGAGAACCUUGUAGGGAGAGAGAGCAAGAACAACAACCUCAACAUGGAAGGAGAGAGGAGGAAGAAGAAGAGGAAGAGUGGCAACCUAGGAGACUACGACCUCAAAGUAGAAAGGAAGAGAGAGAGCAAGAACAAGGCUCUAGCUCAAGCUCACGUAAGCAAAGUGGUUAUGAGAGGAGACAAUAUCAUGAGAGGAGGGAGCAGAGGGAU